UACGUAGGGUGCGAGCGUUGUCCGGAAUUACUGGGCGUAAAGAGCUCGUAGGCGGUCAGUCGCGUCUGCUGUGAAAACUCGGGGCUUAACUCCGGGCCUGCAGUGGGUACGGGCUGACUAGAGUGCGGUAGGGGAGACUGGAAUUCCUGGUGUAGCGGUGAAAUGCGCAGAUAUCAGGAGGAACACCGGUGGCGAAGGCGGGUCUCUGGGCCGUAACUGACGCUGAGGAGCGAAAGCGUGGGGAGCGAACAGG
rnacentral:rRNA from 1 species